UACGGAGGGUGCAAGCGUUAUCCGGAUUCACUGGGUUUAAAGGGUGCGUAGGUGGGCAGGUAAGUCAGUGGUGAAAUCUCCGGGCUUAACCCGGAAACUGCCGUUGAUACUAUCUGUCUUGAAUAUCCUGGAGGUGAACGGAAUAUGUCAUGUAGCGGUGAAAUGCUUAGAUAUGACAUAGAACACCAAUUGCGAAGGCAGUUCACUACGGGAUCAUUGACACUGAGGCACGAAAGCGUGGGGAU
rnacentral:rRNA from 1 species